rnacentral:misc_RNA from 1 species
UAAUCAUUGUUUAUUGAUUAAAUUACUGAUUAAUCUACACAACAGCCGGAAAAGAAAAAAUCAAUUCUUAAACAACAAACAAACAAAAGAAAAUAUAGAUACUUUUUAGAUAGUAUAGAGAAGGGAUUUAAUCAAAAUUUUGAAAUUAGUUGGCCAUUUCUCUAUUUGACACCUUUUUAUUUGAAUAAUCAAAUAUUUUGAGUGGAGAAAGAUAAUUCGUACAGCCCACCCAACAAAUUUUUGAAUAAAGGUUUAAUUGAGUUGAAUUAAAUAUUUUCCUCAUCAACAAUAAACAAAAGUGUAAACAAAGAAAUUCAAAUUGCAGGAGAUAUAAUGGGUCUUACCUCAAACCCUUGGUUACUCAGU